rnacentral:rRNA from 1 species
AACGCUAGCUACAGGCUUAACACAUGCAAGUCGAGGGGAAACGACAUCGAAAGCUUGCUUUUGAUGGGCGUCGACCGGCGCACGGGUGAGUAACGCGUAUCCAACCUGCCCACCACUUGGGGAUAACCUUGCGAAAGUAAGACUAAUACCCAAUGAUAUCUCUAGAAGACAUCUGAAAGAGAUUAAAGAUUUAUCGGUGAUGGAUGGGGAUGCGUCUGAUUAGCUUGUUGGCGGGGUAACGGCCCACCAAGGCAACGAUCAGUAGGGGUUCUGAGAGGAAGGUCCCCCACAUUGGAACUGAGACACGGUCCAAACUCCUACGGGAGGCAGCAGUGAGGAAUAUUGGUCAAUGGACGAGAGUCUGAACCAGCCAAGUAGCGUGCAGGAAGACGGCCCUAUGGGUUGUAAACUGCUUUUAUAAGGGAAUAAAGUGAGAGUCGUGACUCUUUUUGCAUGUACCUUAUGAAUAAGGACCGGCUAAUUCCGUGCCAGCAGCCGCGGUAAUACGGAAGGUCCGGGCGUUAUCCGGAUUUAUUGGGUUUAAAGGGAGCGUAGGCCGGAGAUUAAGCGUGUUGUGAAAUGUAGAUGCUCAACAUCUGAACUGCAGCGCGAACUGGCUUCCUUGAGUACGCACAAAGUGGGCGGAAUUCGUGGUGUAGCGGUGAAAUGCUUAGAUAUCACGAAGAACUCCGAUUG